UACGAGAGGCCCAAACGUUAUUCGGAAUUACUGGGCUUAAAGAGUUCGUAGGCGGCGCAACAAGUGGGGUGUGAAAGCCCUCGGCUCAACCGAGGAAUUGCGCUCCAAACUGUUGUGCUUGAGGGACCUAGAGGUGAGCGGAACUGAUGGUGGAGCGGUGAAAUGCGUUGAUAUCAUCAGGAACACCGGAGGCGAAGGCGGCUCACUGGGGGUCUUCUGACGCUGAGGAACGAAAGCCAGAGGAGCGAACGGGG
rnacentral:rRNA from 1 species